CCACAAAGCCCAGAUUUGAACCUUGUAUAUACUCAUGGAAAGGAGAACCAGUUCUCAAGCAACUCUUCUCAUUUUUACCAACCACAUAAACAUGUAGCUUCCGGUAAAACAAUACUUCUCAUUUUACAAGUUCAUUAAUCAAUAAUGAGCAGGCUCAGUGGGGGCACAGGACAACCUGAGCCUGACAGCGAGGAAGGCGGAUUUUGUCACGGAGGGAGGGUUCUCAUGAAACUCUGGAUCUCCCAGCUAGUUGGGGGGCACUAACAAGGGCUGCCCAGAGAGCACGCAAGGUCUCUCCAAUCAUGCCACAAACCCCGCAAUGUCAGGACAAAGGCACCGGUGUUGACAGAGACCUUGGAGUUCAUCAGAGAGGUGACAUCACCUGCCUAGGUCUCUACUUCCCUGCUCUUUUCCCCAGCAAAACCAACCACACUUUGCAUUCCCCAUCAUUAUUAAUCCUCCAAACAAGCAACCCGUCCACAUAGGAACAAGGAACCUGAGGUGAAGUGAGCCGAACUGGCUUACCCAAGCUCACACAGCGCAGGGCCGUCAGCAUUGGGAGGCAGCCCUGGGUCCUAUAGGCCUCAUGCACGGCCUGCCUUGCUGUCGAGAAAGUCCCAGCCACCGACACAGGCUGCAGGAAACGGCACCAAAGUCACUUGCAGCAGCGCAGAGAAAGUGUGAACAAAGAACCUUUUUUUUUUUUUUUUUUGGGAGAUGGAGUCUCACUCUGUUUCCCAGGCUGGAGUACAGUGGGGCACGAUCUCAGCUCACUGCAACCUCCAUCUCCCAGGUUUAAGUGAUUCUCCUGCCUCAGCCUCCCAAGUAGCUGGGAUUACAGGCGCCCACCACCACCAUACCCAGCAAAUUUUUGUAUUUUUAGUAGAUGGGGUUUUGCCAUGUUGGCCAGGCUGGUCUCGAACUCCUGACCUCAGGCGAUCUGCCCGACUUGGCCUCCCAAAGUGCUGGGAUUAUAGGCAUGAGCCACCGCGCCUGGCCUUUUAUUUCUAAGGGAAAUAAAAGUCCCAGCAGAGCAUUCUAGUUUUGAAGCAUCUCACCUAGGAACACUAACAGACAGCAAAUUUAACCUGCUGAGUGCAGCCCUCAUUUGGUCCAUUUUUCUUGCCACAACUGCCUACUGCCCUUCUGUCAAGGCAGAGGCAGACAUAAACCACUACCAUCUGUGGCUGCCCUGGGAACUGUGAGAACUCAUGGAAAUAAUGCGUCCCCUUGUGACUUCACAUCGUGCACCUCCUGUGACAACCCUCCCCUCUGACAAUUACACUCACACCCAGUUCCCACGUGAACACGCUGAGUCCAGCCUUGGAGAUGCAGCUUUUGUCUUGCUGAAACCUUCCAGUUAAAUUUCUCCAUCAAUUUUUCAAAUAGUAUUAUUAGCUGAGGGACUAAAAUCUGCCUGGCGUUCUUCUGAUGACAAAGGUAACCCAUCCCUCCCUGUGCUCCCCAUCCUCACGUUGUUUCUAAUUCAGAUUUUCUUCUCCCUUCUCCUGAAUACCUGCAUCUUCUUCCUGACUGACAUGGCUUUAGGAAACACAGCACAUUCACAAACAUCUGAAGCCAACUGCAAGGCACCCGUCACUCAGCGAGAAAAGCAGAAAGGUGCCAAUUCAGAUGGCUGAGCUACUUCGCCUGGGUCCCGACCUGUAUCACCACAGGGUCACAGAAAUGGAACCUUCUCCGUCACACCUCCUGAUGGCAGUCAGCUGUGACCCGCUGAAUCCAGGACAUCAUGCAUUCCAGUUUCAUUUGCGAGAACAUUUCCAGGUCCGGCUGAAGCCUAGUGGCUCCAGCAGAGGUCUCAACCCCUUUGGGAUGCUCAGUGGGAGACAGAAUCAAGGGCCAAUGAUCCAUGACCUAGUCCUAGUGCCCAUGUCAGUUUGUCAAAGGCCCUCAGAGCAGAUUGUGUUUUCCCUGGCGGGGGCUUGACUUCUUUGCUUUAAAAAGGAUUCUUAAGUAUUUAUUGCAGUAAAAUUAACCACCUUCAAAUUUCUGCCAGAUCCCCUGGAGGUAUAUAGCUUAUUAACACAAAACAAAUGUGACACUUGAAAGGCAGGAGACUUGGUUUCUAUUCUCUGGCCCACUACUGACUUAUUGGGUGGCUUCAGGCAAAUAAGUGAAAUCAAGAAGACACCAUCUUCAACAAGCACAGAGUGGGCACCUGGCAGGAAUAAAACGAAAAGAGGCCUGUGUAUUUCUCGUAUUUUUAUAUAAGAGCUGGAGCUAUUUGAACGGCUAAGGAGAAGAAGAUAGUUUGAUUUAGAUUUGGCAUGGGUUUAGGGGAAGAAACGUCUCUGUAGCUGGUCCUAAAUAUUAUGGUAACUUGGACUGAAUCAGUCUCCAAGGGAGAAGCUGCCACAUGUUAUAACAGAAGCCACUGGGCUUGGCAAGAAACAAAUGAAAAAAAGUACAACGAAAGCAACCCCACUUCUCCAUCGUGGCGGGGAUGAGCUAGGCAGGACGACUGCAUGUCUUCCUUUCCUAUGCCUGACCAAAUCCAGCACUGCCCUUUCAAAUCAGUCUUCAUCACAUUCCAAAGAAUACAAAAUACGCAAGUUAAUUUUAAUUUCCAAUGAAUUCUUCAGGAGAAAUUUUUCUUCCUCCUUCCUAAAAAAAAGAAUAAAAAAUGCAGAAUAGAGAUUCAAAAUGAGGGGUGGCAGCAAAAAUUCUGACUCGCAGAAGGUUGAGAGGGUGCCUUUUUCAAAUGUAUUUAUUUUACAGUUCCAAGAAGGUAAGACUACCUUCUGUUUUGAUUCAUGCUUCACCAUUCCCCACUUAAAUUUUUAAAAAUUACAUCCUUGCCUAUGUCUGUCUUGCUAUUUGACUGGUCACUCCCAAACAUAAACUGCCCUAGUUUGAAGCUUCCCAAAGCCAAGCAAAGGUGACAGACUAGUACAAAGAAGGCCGCUAGUGAGUUUUUACUGAGUGAAUCUACAUUGUUCCAUGGCCUUGGUCUGGAUAUAGAUUCUAAAGCUUCUUACACUGACACAAAUGGAGUUUCUAGCUCUCCAGGUAAUUUUCGGUGAAAGAAAAUUAUAGAAGAAGGCAUAAACCUUGGCUCACAAAAUAAAUACGCACUCAGACCCAUGUACUUCAUGAAACAUACAAGCCCAGAGCUAGACCAUGCCAUCUGUUUUAUGAGGAAAAAAAAUAAAUUCACAUGAUUUACUUACUUUAGCUCUGCCAGAAAUCAUCAGCAUCUACUUGCACAACUAAAGACAAGAAGACAAGGCAGAUGGAGGCUAAACACCGAAUACUGCCUAAUUUUGAUGUAUAUUUUUGGGUCAAACCUCUUAUAAUUUACUAUUUCCAAGAGGGAAAAUAAGCUUAUAUAAUGGCACUGAAUCAUUGGCUUCCAGUUAUGGGAAGCAAAGGAAAUUAACCUCAAGGGGAAAAAAAUGCUACAAAUAUAAAUAAUAUAGUUUCUGUUUACGAAGCAGUUUUUCAUGUACUGCCAUUUCUUUCUUUUUUUAAAGAAGAUAUGUUUACAAAAUAGGUGACCAACUAAGGUAGGUGUGUGUGAAGAGAGGCAGUGAGAGAGAGGGGAUCCUGAAAUUCUUUUCAGUAAAGGAAAAAGAUAAUUUUAGGGAUGUUUUUAAAAAUAUAUAACUUGAUGAAUUUUUUAUAGCAUGAGUAUUAUUUAGGUGCUGUCCUAGACCAGUGUGGCGUAUAGGCUAUAGAAGAUUGGUCCUGAAUGCUAAUGGCAGGGAUGAGUGUAAGAUCAUCAAAACUUAUUUGUGGGAAGGAGAGCUACUGACAGAGCCAUGUAUUACAUGACUCCAGUCUGGGCUGAUAGGCCUGCCUUAAAGCAUAGCUAGAGGGCAGGCACGGUGGCUCAUGCCUGUAAUCUCAGCACUUUGGGAGGUUGAGGCGGGCAGGUCACUUGAAGUCAGGAGUUUGAGACCAGCAACAUGGUGAAACCCCAUCUCUACUAAAAAUACGAAGAUUAGCCGGGUGUGGUAGCAUGUGCCUGUAGUCCUAGCUACUCAGGAGGCUGAGGCAGGAGAAUCGCUUGAACUGGGGAGGCAGAGGCUGCAGUGACCCAAGAUUGUGCCACUUGCACUCCAGCCUGGGUGACAGAGUGAGACUCCAUUUCAAAAAAAAAAAAAAAAAAAAAAAAGCAUAGAUAGACAAAAUGUCCUGGAAUCACUAAAAUGGAUAAAUUAUGAUAUCCAUAAAGUGGAUAAGUUAUGAUAUAUAUUCACACACUAGAUACACACAUUAUGAUAUAUUCAUAUAUAUCGUGAAGGCUAAACCCACAUGAGUCCAUAACACACUCACAGGUCUGUGCCCUUUGGCCCUGGCCCUCUCGCCAUUCGGAAGCGAUCACAGAGAACACAAUGAGUCUGUUAUUCGCUCAAUAUACAGUCAUGUGCAGCAUAACAUUUCAGUCAAUGGUGCACCGCACCCAUGAUGGUGGGCCCGCAAGAUUACAUGGAGCUGAAAAUUCCUAUUGCCUAGUGACACUGUAGCCACUGUAACACACUGCAGGGCUUUACUUUUUCUAUGUUUAGGUAUGUUUAGAUAUAUGAGCACUUACCAUUGUGUUACAAUGUAUUCAGUACAGUCGUACUGUACGCCACACAGGUUUGUGGCCUAGGAGCAAUAGGGCCAUAUCAUAUCGCCUAGGGAUGUAGUAGGCUAUACCAUGUAGGUUUAUGUAUAUACACUCUAUGAUGUUCACACGAUGACAAAACUGCCUAUCCCCAUUGUUAAAUGACACAUGACUGUAUGUGCAUUAAGUACCUACUGUGUGUCAGGUAGUGUACUUGGCAGGUGCUGAAGUAUGGUGGUGAAUCAAUGGAGAAAGUCCCUUAUGGAGUUCAUAGUCUAUGGGGAAGAAUGGUGAGCUCCAGUAUAGAUACCCAGUAUAUACAGAGAGAGGUCCAGUACAGACACCCAGUAUAGACAUAGCCAAGUGACCAAGAGCACUGGCUUGGAGUCAUUCAGAUGAGGUUUAAUCCUUGGUUCUGCUACUUGCUUUGGAAAUGUCACUCCCUAAUCACUGCUUACUUUAUAUGUAAAAUGGGAUGGUAAUGCCAGCCUUUCAGGGCUAUUGAGAAGAUUCCAUGAGACAAUGUUUAUAAAGCACUUACAACAGCAUCUAGCACCCAACAGACCUAAUAAAUGGGAGUUAUGAUGAUUGUUCUCUCAAAGAUCCAAGGGACACACACAAAGAGGUUUGCUAUUUUCUCCCCCAGAACACACCCCAAAAUGCUGAACCAGGAGCCAACUCAUAUCACCACUUUAUCACGCUCCUGUAUGACCCUGGGCAAAUCAGAUGCCCACCAGUGUCACUAGGCUAGACAGCAAAGUCUAGUUGCUAAAAAUAUACUCCAG
rnacentral:lncRNA from 1 species